CUUUGUCCUAACUGCAAUAACCAUGUCUUUAAAAGCAACAGACUGAUGAUACCGAUCGAGUAACAAAAUCGAACUCAGGUCCAAAUCAAAAACAUAAAACAGGUAGAACCCUCCCAAAAUCUUCCUCUAGGGGAAGUUUUGCUAACCUCCGCACCUUUUCUGCUGAUUCAGACAAUAUUUGGUGUAAUCGCUUUGAGUCCAAAUAUUCGUUAACAAUCAAAGUGUAGUUAUCAAACAAGUACCUAGAAGUGUACGAAGUGAUUGACCGGGAAAUGGCAAAAGAACAAAUUGCACACUCAGCUAAAUUAACUUCAUAAUUCAUAAACCUCAAUGACUGAUCAGCCAACAACAGCCCACCGUCAUUUAC
rnacentral:lncRNA from 1 species